rnacentral:rRNA from 1 species
UACGAAGGGGGCUAGCGUUGUUCGGAAUUACUGGGCGUAAAGCGCACGUAGGCGGACUAUUAAGUCAGGGGUGAAAUCCCGGGGCUCAACCCCGGAACUGCCUUUGAUACUGGUAGUCUCGAGUCCGGAAGAGGUGAGUGGAAUUCCGAGUGUAGAGGUGAAAUUCGUAGAUAUUCGGAGGAACACCAGUGGCGAAGGCUGCUCACUGGUCCGGUACUGACGCUGAGGUGCGAAAGCGUGGGGAGCAAACAGG